GAUGAACGCUGGCGGCGUGCCUAAUACAUGCAAGUCGAGCGAACGGACGAGAAGCUUGCUUCUCUGAUGUUAGCGGCGGACGGGUGAGUAACACGUGGAUAACCUACCUAUAAGACUGGGAUAACUUCGGGAAACCGGAGCUAAUACCGGAUAAUAUUUUGAACCGCAUGGUUCAAAAGUGAAAGACGGUCUUGCUGUCACUUAUAGAUGGAUCCGCGCUGCAUUAGCUAGUUGGUAAGGUAACGGCUUACCAAGGCAACGAUGCAUAGCCGACCUGAGAGGGUGGUCGGCCACACUGGAACUGAGACACGGUCCAGACUCCUACGGGAGGCAGCAGUAGGGAAUCUUCCGCAAUGGGCGAGAGCCUGACGGAGCAACGCCGCGUGAGUGAUGAAGGUCUUCGGAUCGUAAAACUCUGUUAUUAGGGAAGAACAUAUGUGUAAGUAACUGUGCACAUCUUGACGGUACCUAAUCAGAAAGCCACGGCUAACUACGUG
rnacentral:rRNA from 1 species